rnacentral:rRNA from 1 species
UACGUAGGUGGCAAGCGUUGUCCGGAAUUAUUGGGCGUAAAGCGCGCGCAGGUGGUUUCUUAAGUCUGAUGUGAAAGCCCACGGCUCAACCGUGGAGGGUCAUUGGAAACUGGGGGAACUUGAGUGCAGGAGAGAAGAGUGGAAUUCCACGUGUAGCGGUGAAAUGCGUAGAGAUGUGGAGGAACACCAGUGGCGAAGGCGACUCUUUGGCCUGUAACUGACACUGAGGCGCGAAAGCGUGGGGGAGCAAACAGGG